rnacentral:rRNA from 1 species
AGAGUUUGAUCCUGGCUCAGGAUGAACGCUAGCUACAGGCUUAACACAUGCAAGUCGAGGGGCAGCAUUUUAGUUUGCUUGCAAACUGAAGAUGGCGACCGGCGCACGGGUGAGUAACACGUAUCCAACCUGCCGAUAACUCCGGGAUAGCCUUUCGAAAGAAAGAUUAAUACCGGAUAGCAUACGAAUAUCGCAUGAUAUUUUUAUUAAAGAAUUUCGGUUAUCGAUGGGGAUGCGUUCCAUUAGUUUGUUGGCGGGGUAACGGCCCACCAAGACUACGAUGGAUAGGGGUUCUGAGAGGAAGGUCCCCCACAUUGGAACUGAGACACGGUCCAAACUCCUACGGGAGGCAGCAGUGAGGAAUAUUGGUCAAUGGGCGAGAGCCUGAACCAGCCAAGUAGCGUGAAGGAUGAAGGCUCUAUGGGUCGUAAACUUCUUUUAUAUGGGAAUAAAGUUUUCCACGUGUGGAAUUUUGUAUGUACCAUAUGAAUAAGGAUCGGCUAACUCCGUGCCAGCAGCCGCGGUAAUACGGAGGAUCCGAGCGUUAUCCGGAUUUAUUGGGUUUAAAGGGAGCGUAGGUGGAUUGUUAAGUCAGUUGUGAAAGUUUGCGGCUCAACCGUAAAAUUGCAGUUGAAACUGGGAGUCUUGAGUACAGUAGAGGUGGGCGGAAUUCGUGGUGUAGCGGUGAAAUGCUUAGAUAUCACGAAGAACUCCGAUUGCGAAGGCAGCUCACUAGACUGUCACUGACACUGAUGCUCGAAAGUGUGGGUAUCAAACAGGAUUAGAUACCCUGGUAGUCCACACAGUAAACGAUGAAUACUCGCUGUUUGCGAUAUACAGUAAGCGGCCAAGCGAAAGCAUUAAGUAUUCCACCUGGGGAGUACGCCGGCAACGGUGAAACUCAAAGGAAUUGACGGGGGCCCGCACAAGCGGAGGAACAUGUGGUUUAAUUCGAUGAUACGCGAGGAACCUUACCCGGGCUUAAAU